AGAGCGUGAUAUAUAUAAAGCCCCUGGCAUACUAGAAGUGACUGUAAAUGGUGACUCUACAGUGAGCAGCAGAUGCUAUAAGCUUAGUCUGCCCGGCCAGCCAUCCUGCUGCCUUGAGGAACCCCUGCUUCCUUGCUUGCUGUGCUUUGCUGCCUGUGCUUUGCUGCCGCCCUGUCCCUGGACCACAACGUGCUCAGGCCCCAGUGGACCAUUCACCCAGGCUCUGACAGCAUGCUCAGGGAUGUGCGCAGCACCCCAGCAGAGCCAGUCUUUCUGGGGCUUGCAGGAACGUAUGCUUAGGACACGGCAGUCCCUCUUCCCACUGGGGCUGGUAAGAUGGAGGGUGUGAAGCCAGCUUGGUCACAUGUGAAAGAUCCUGCCUGAAAAAGGCAGCCAACAAGAACUGAGAGCUGGCAAGGUGGGGGGCGGAGAGACAGACCUGACAAUAUUGUUUGAGAACCUGGUUCCAGUCACGCCUGAACCCUGCCCACUCCCACCUCGCACAAGCCAACCAAACCCAUCCAUAAUUUUCUCUUGCUAAAGCCAAGUUGAGGUCACCUUGAAUUGUCAUGAUUAAGAUGAUAUUGCCAAAAUAAUGUCUUUCUGAGACACAACACUGCUGAGCCCCUAAUGCUACAAGCAUCUUCAAGUUAGAGUUUCUUGAGCACCUUUACCCAGUCCAUCUGAAGUGAGAAGAAAUGUCCAAACUUGGAUAGUUUUUAGGAAAAGUGGGGAAAAAAUAAUUACACUGGCAUAUUAGGCCCAAACUAGGACUGUCUGGGCAAAUUGGGACGUCUAAGUACCUCAUUAACGGGUGGGUGAUCAGAGUACAGGUGGAAAGAGGUUCAGGACGUGCCAUUCACAGCCUGUACUCAAGUUGGUCCUCGGCGAUGAUACAUCUGUUCGUGCAGGCCUGGCAGCUUCCUGGAGGGCACCCUUGCAGAGACGGGAGGGUGGCCUCCAGGGCACCUUUUGAAAGGACAGCUGGCCCCAAGCUUCGCCUCCUAGCUUCUAGUCUUGCCCACUCAGAUGCUCACCAGUUUAAUGGGGGCCCGUGGAGGGCCUGGGGUGCAGGCCAGUCACCGGCCACCAACCAGCCCCAGGACAUCUUCAAGGCCUCCAGCCAAAACCAGCUACUCCUUUGGGCCACCAGCAAAUGGAGUCUUCAAGGGCAAAAAAAGUGUGUAAGGUUCAUUUUACAUGCCUGA
rnacentral:lncRNA from 1 species